rnacentral:tRNA from 1 species
GGGGAUGUAACUCAGUGGUAGAGCACUUGCCUAGCAUGCGAAAGGCUCUGGGUUUGAUCCCAGUACACCCU